AGUAACAAUAAAAUGAACUCCAUUUGAUCCUUUGUCUCCCGCCGUUAAUCAAUUCCCAAGUCGGAAAACGAAAUGUCCGUUGCUGCAGUCCGAUCGAUGGGAUUCGGCCGAGAAAUCACUUCUGGAUUCUAGAAAUCGUAAGAUUCUUAUCCAAUUUCUGUAUAAGCUAAGAUAUACAUGUCUGGUGAAGUACUUAAAAGUGUUUAUAUAGGUCCGUAUAAGUCUGUAGAUUUUAUUAUUAGUGAUUAUAUACAGUUUAAUUUAUUAAGCAUGUAAGUUUGGUUACUUGCUCAAUAGUCAAUUAUGAUUAAAAUUCAACCUUUUGAAGGAAAAUGGCAAAGGUACCUAAAUUUUGGAUUUCAAAAAUUUUUCAAGGCCAAGUGUAUUUAUGUAUUAAUUGAAGAUCCAGUUCCUGCGUUUUUUUUCCUUUGGUUUAUGUAAAUUUGGCUGAGAAUGAUUCACUUGAAGAGCUGCUGAGUGCUUGCAAUUGUUGAUUAUGGGAGAUAGUAUGUUUUUUUAGCAAGUUCAACUUAAUAAAAAUAGUGAAAGUAGGCUCAAUGAGCCACACAUUGCAAGGGUGCCUUGAAGUCUUAACUGCUAUCAAAUUAUACAAAACAAACCAAAUAUAAGAGACAACCACACAACUAGAAAUGUGCUCCUUUUUUAAUGUCAUCUGAAUUUCAAAGAUGAAUGUGCUCCCUUUUUAGUUUCCUCUUUUUUGGGUUUGAAAGAGAAUGUUUGUAUUCAAUGUCUACACUUUGUUGCCAAGUUUAAAAAGGAACUGGAGUUGUUGUUCUCAUCGAUUCCUCUCUCUAUGCAAUUGAACAAGUGAAACAUCCCAAAAGCUGUCAUAUGGAGAAGGAGUUGGAAGUUGAAAUGUUUGUUAGACCCUAAUAAUUGAAGCAUUCUACUAUGAAAAGAUUAGAGUAGGAGAUAAAUAAAAACCUACCCCACAUGAUAAAAUACAACAAAUGUUCUACAGUUUAUAACCACUGGUGCCAACUAUUCAGCAACUCUGAUAUUCUGUUCAUUAUUUCAAGUACUAGAAGUUAUUAUUACUUCCUUUCAGGCUGAUGUGUGGAAGGAACUUCUUAUGCUCUAGGCUUGGCAUAAAUGGUUGAAAUUAUUCAAUAGUGUGAGCUUGGGACUUAAUAUAUGACAAAAGAAAGAGUAUUAUAUUUUAGUUUGACUCACAUUUGUAAUGAUAUAACUGAUCAAUGGUGAUGAGAAUAGAAAUGGAAUCUGAUAAUCAAGCCAAGGUUUUGGCAAUAACUGCAGAAAUCUAGCAAUUCUUGGUAAUUGUUAUUUCUCUAUUCAUUUCAAUGUGAAAAUGAAUGUUGUAUUGAAGGUUUUAGAUGAUUGGCUGUAGUGGGAAUGAGGAAGUGGUUGUGUGGGGUAGAGAAGAAUCCAUGGUUUGAAAGGAAAAACAAUAGUGCAUGUGGGAUGCCAUGUGAAGAACAUUAAAUAUAAAUUCUCCAACCCCAACCCUCCCCCCAAAAUUUUAUAUAUAUAUAUAUAUAUUAAAAAAAAUUAAGUUUUUAACGUAGUGUCUUAUGAUAAUGGUAGAGCAGAACAAGACCUCCAUGUGAUAAAUCAUUGAAACUCUGAACAAUGGAUCUAGAUCUAAAGAAUAAUUAUGCAUAAGAAGCGUACUAAUAUUUAAUGGGAUGUGGUUAGAUAAACCCAUUACUAAAGACAGAAGAUAAAGCAAAAGAAUCUGUAGAUGAAGGUUGAAAUAAGAAAUUGUGCAGUAAAGUUGAUCAUUUUUAAUAUUUUCAUCCUUCUGAUGAAGUGGCUUACAAACCAAAUAGCUGAUGCUUCAAGCGUCUGCGAAAGCCAAGUCUGUUGUUUUGGGAUCUUUAUAUUUAUCUGUUUGUCAGUAUGAUAAUAAGGAUUUAUCCUACUGGUGUGUCUUUAUAAUGUCCCUUUAAACUGCAAUAAUCUCCUUUUUGUUCUUGCAGUUGAGUUCAGAUGAGAAUGUUUGACCUUCAGCAGAUGUGCAUUAUUUAAAUUAACUAUAUCCAUAAUAAGUGAAAAAACGUGUAGAUUACAAUCAUUACAUUAAUUGCGAAUUGAGAAUAAGAUACAUACAUUUUUAAGGGAUGGCUAGAAUCUUGUUCAAAGGGUGCUCAGAUAGUAAGUGGAUAUGGAGAUAGGUUUUCUGUUAUUUAGUAAGAAACAUGAUGAAGUUACUUUUCCCUAAUAGAAUGUCAAGCAAGUUUAUAUACUUACCUAAUGACAUUUACAAUGACUUCUUCUCCCAAGUGUUACCCAUUUGGCAAGACAUGUUUCAAUUCCCAAGAAAAUGGAAUGUUCCAUGUAUGCUUAAUUAGGGACUGUGAAUUCUGAUAACAUAAUCAAGAAGUCCAAGAAAGUGCUAGGUCAACCUAAGCUGCUGGUAAACUAUGUACUCGGUUGAAGAUUGAUUUAGUUGUAGCCCAUUAAUACUGUUGGUAAUAUUAUUAUUCUGAAAAUAUUGUUAUCUAUGGCAACAGAAGUAUAUCUGUACAUGAACAGAUGAUAUUAGUCUAUGGACCCUGCUUGUGACCCCUCAAAGACAGAAAUAAGAGUGGUGUUGAGGCCACUGAAACUGCCUGUUGCUUACUAGACAAGAAUUCACUUGUUAUGAGGCUGAAGGAGAUGAGUACAAAAGUUUAUUGUAAUUUGUGGCCAAGAACUUGAACAUGGUAUAUGGGGUGCUUCAUGCUGAGCAACCCCACAUGCUAGGCCAUACUUUGUCCUGAGGGGCCUAAUUAUUUGUAAAUUUGGACUGCACACCUUUUUAGACAGACAACACUUGGCUCUGCUAUUCUAGACCUCUCAUGGUGGAAAACAACUUUUUGGUAGACCUGACUAGGUUUUAGCCAAAUUGGGUAUAAUUUCUGUUUGCAUUUUUUGUCAAUAAUGUAUAUGUAUUUGCUAUUUGGUUUAAUUCAUCUAGUUCUUUGACUUUAUAGAGCUGCCAUUAAUUGUGUUUACAUGAUUACAACUCUUUGCUAAACAAAGAGUAUUGUUUUCAAUGGAAUUGCAAAAAAAGUAUUGACUCUUUUUUCUGGGCGGAUGGAGAUUUAUUCAUGAUAGUAUUACGCUGAAGUACCAACCAAACAUAUGUGUGUAUUUAUGCGCACGUACACAGAGAUAAAUGACAUGUGAAUUUGAGACACAUUUUAUACUCUAAAUUUGAGACCACCCGGGGCAUUAUAUUUAUAUCAAAAAUUGUUAUAUAUAGUCUAUAGAUAGAGGAUGGUGUCAAGGGCCGGUUUGGCAAAUGUCAAAACCUUGGCAGUUGUAGAUAAGGCUGAUUAUCUUUGAGCUGGAUGUGUUAUUAGUUCUAGAGUGCUUUGAGUUUUCACUUUGCAGUCUUUUCAAGUAAGAAACAACAAUAAUGCCCUAGAAUCAUAAUUGAGUGGCUCAUUUUUUUAGUAGCCUGGCCAAUUGUCAAGAUUAUCAAGCUGAUUGCAUCUUGUACCUACCCCUUUUCAUAUACUCCCUCAUGUUUUUGCUGGCUCCUUUUUCAAGUCCUUUUUUGUCUCCUUAUCAUUAUUCCCUUUAAUUGCUAAUCCGGUCUCUCAAUGAUGUAUGAUUAGGCAAAGAGAAUGACAAGGAAGCUUAGAAAUCUACAUCUGGACAAUUUAAUCUUAUUCCUGACCACCCAUUAAUUAGCACCUAGAUGUAAGCUCUUAAAGAGGUACCUUUCCGGGCUAAGGUGGUUGUAAAAUCAGGUAAGGAAAUGAUAGGCCAUAAACUCAGAGGUCUUGAGUUCUUAUUAAGCAUAGGGGUCACAUACUGUAGGCGUAAGCCUGUUUCGGAAGCCUUGUUCGGGUAGGGAGACUAUCUGGCCUCAAGAUCAGGAACUCCUCAUAUCAAAAAAAAAAAAAGUGUGAAGCUAAGAAGGGAGAAGCUUAGUAAAGGAAAUCAGAGCGCUCCUAGCUGGCCCUAUCUUGCACGUUCUCCUAAAAUUUAAGUUUUACAGUUCUCAGCAAUUUGCAUAAAGCUAAUUACUGCUUAUUUAAUUUUUGAAUGCUAUAUUAGUAUAUUGUAUCACUAAUUUCAUCAUAUAUCUUCUCUAGAAAUCAUUAAUUUGGUGUCAAAAUAUUUCGAUAAUAUAGGAUGCCUCCUUCUGGACUUUGGUGGUAGUUUUUGACUUUCAAAUGGGGCGGCUGCAAGUUCACGUUUUUGCUUUUGUACUGUUAAUAUUUAUUUAUUAAAUUUAUUGUAUUUUAUUUGUUCUUAAAUAUAAGAUCACUUGUAUUUGUAAAAAUACAAAGACCAAUUAUUUUAUAUUUUGGAACAGAGAUA
rnacentral:lncRNA from 1 species